AUUGAACGCUGGCGGCAGGCUUAACACAUGCAAGUCGAGCGGAGAUGAGGUGCUUGCACCUUAUCUUAGCGGCGGACGGGUGAGUAAUGCUUAGGAAUCUGCCUAUUAGUGGGGGACAACAUUCCGAAAGGAAUGCUAAUACCGCAUACGCCCUACGGGGGAAAGCAGGGGAUCUUCGGACCUUGCGCUAAUAGAUGAGCCUAAGUCGGAUUAGCUAGUUGGUGGGGUAAAGGCCUACCAAGGCGACGAUCUGUAGCGGGUCUGAGAGGAUGAUCCGCCACACUGGGACUGAGACACGGCCCAGACUCCUACGGGAGGCAGCAGUGGGGAAUAUUGGACAAUGGGCGGAAGCCUGAUCCAGCCAUGCCGCGUGUGUGAAGAAGGCCUUUUGGUUGUAAGGCACUUUAAGCGAGGAGGAGGCUACUUGGAUUAAUACUCUAGGAUAGUGGACGUUACUCGCAGAAUAAGCACCGGCUAACUCUGUGCCAGCCGCCGCGGUAA
rnacentral:rRNA from 1 species